rfam:Arthrobacter cupressi strain SW1 SW1_scaffold_17, whole genome shotgun sequence.
GGUCAAGUUUUUAAGGGCACACGGUGGAUGCCUUGGCAUCAGGAGCCGAUGAAGGACGUAGGAAUCUGCGAUAAGCCUGGGGGAGUUGAUAACCGAGCGGUGAUCCCAGGAUGUCCGAAUGGGGAAACCCCGCACAACGCUGUGAGGUGAUUGUGUGACCCGUACCUGAAUAUAUAGGGUGCGUGGGGGGAACGCGGGGAAGUGAAACAUCUCAGUACCCGCAGGAAGAGAAAACAAGAGUGAUUCCGUUAGUAGUGGCGAGCGAACGCGGAUGAGGCUAAACCGACCCAUGUGUGAUAGCCGGCGGGCGUUGCGUGGGCGGGGUUGUGGGACGUGCUGUGCUGGUUCUGCCGGACCGGUGGGGUGUGAGUGCAGGCAUAGGCGAACGGUUUUGAAAGGCCGGCCGGAGAGGGUGUGAGUCCCGUAGUCGUAAUGUUGUGCACCGCUCUUGGCGCUGUUCCCAAGUAGCACGGGGCCCGAGAAAUCCCGUGUGAAUCUGUCAGGACCACCUGAUAAGCCUAAAUACUUCCUGAUGACCGAUAGCGGACCAGUACCGUGAGGGAAAGGUGAAAAGUACCCCGGGAGGGGAGUGAAAUAGUACCUGAAACCGUGUGCUUACAAUCCGUCAGAGCAGGCUUGUUCCUGUGAUGGCGUGCCUUUUGAAGAAUGAGCCUGCGAGUUAGUGUUACGUCGCGAGGUUAACCCGUGUGGGGUAGCCGUAGCGAAAGCGAGUCUGAACAGGGCGAGUGUAGUGGCGUGAUCUAGACCCGAAGCGGAGUGAUCUACCCAUGGCCAGGUUGAAGCGACGGUAAGACGUCGUGGAGGACCGAACCCACUUCAGUUGAAAAUGGAGGGGAUGAGCUGUGGGUAGGGGUGAAAGGCCAAUCAAACUCCGUGAUAGCUGGUUCUCCCCGAAAUGCAUUUAGGUGCAGCGUUGCGUGUUUCUUGCCGGAGGUAGAGCUACUGGAUGGCCGAUGGGCCCUACAAGGUUACUGACGUCAGCCAAACUCCGAAUGCCGGUAAGUGAGAGCGCAGCAGUGAGACUGUGGGGGAUAAGCUUCAUAGUCGAGAGGGAAACAGCCCAGACCACCAACUAAGGCCCCUAAGCGUGUGCUAAGUGGGAAAGGAUGUGGAGUUGCUUAGACAACCAGGAGGUUGGCUUAGAAGCAGCCACCCUUGAAAGAGUGCGUAAUAGCUCACUGGUCAAGUGAUUCCGCGCCGACAAUGUAGCGGGGCUCAAGUACACCGCCGAAGUUGUGGCAUUCACACGAUUUCCAAGCCUUUGUGGUUCAGGAGUGUGGAUGGGUAGGGGAGCGUCGUGUGGGCGGUGAAGCUGCGGUGGAAACCAGUGGUGGAGCCUACACGAGUGAGAAUGCAGGCAUGAGUAGCGAAAGACGGGUGAGAAACCCGUCCGCCGAAUGAUCAAGGGUUCCAGGGUCAAGCUAAUCUGCCCUGGGUAAGUCGGGACCUAAGGCGAGGCCGACAGGCGUAGUCGAUGGACAACGGGUUGAUAUUCCCGUACCGGCGAAGAACCGCCCAUACUGAGCGGGGGAUACUAACCGCCCGAAACCUGCCCGACACCCCUUGUGGGUGAAGGGUUUUGGUGGAGCGCGGGACCUGAUCCCGGGAGGUAAGCGUAUUAACAGGUGUGACGCAGGAAGGUAGCCGGGCCGGGCGAUGGUUGCCCCGGUCUAAGGAUGUAGGCCGUUCCAUAGGCAAAUCCGUGGAGCAUUGAGGCUGAGAUCUGAUGGGACCCCCGUACGGGGGGAUCCGGUGAUCCUAUGCUGCCUAGAAAAGCAUCGGCGCGAGGUUCCAGCUGCCCGUACCCCAAACCGACACAGGUGAUCAGGUAGAGAAUACCAAGGCGAUCGAGAGAAUUAUGGUUAAGGAACUCGGCAAAAUGCCCCCGUAACUUCGGGAGAAGGGGGGCCCCGACCGUGAUGGAACCACGCGUUCCGGAGCGGGUAAGGGCCGCAGAGACCAGGGGGAAGCGACUGUUUACUAAAAACACAGGUCCGUGCGAAGUCGCAAGACGAUGUAUACGGACUGACUCCUGCCCGGUGCUGGAAGGUUAAGAGGACCGGUUAGCCCCUUGCGGGCGAAGCUGAGAAUUUAAGCCCCAGUAAACGGCGGUGGUAACUAUAACCAUCCUAAGGUAGCGAAAUUCCUUGUCGGGUAAGUUCCGACCUGCACGAAUGGAGUAACGACUUCCCCGCUGUCUCAACCAUAAACUCGGCGAAAUUGCAGUACGAGUAAAGAUGCUCGUUACGCGCAGCAGGACGGAAAGACCCCGAGACCUUUACUAUAGUUUGGUAUUGGUGUUCGGAGUGGCUUGUGUAGGAUAGGUGGGAGACUGUGAAGCCCGGACGCCAGUUCGGGUGGAGUCAUCGUUGAAAUACCACUCUGGUCACUUUGGACAUCUAACUUCGGCCCGUGAUCCGGGUCAGGGACAGUGCCUGAUGGGUAGUUUAACUGGGGCGGUUGCCUCCUAAAAAGUAACGGAGGCGCCCAAAGGUUCCCUCAGCCUGGUUGGCAAUCAGGUGUCGAGUGUAAGUGCACAAGGGAGCUUGACUGUGAGAGAGACAUCUCAAGCAGGGACGAAAGUCGGGACUAGUGAUCCGGCGGUACAUUGUGGAAUGGCCGUCGCUCAACGGAUAAAAGGUACCUCGGGGAUAACAGGCUGAUCUUGCCCAAGAGUCCAUAUCGACGGCAUGGUUUGGCACCUCGAUGUCGGCUCGUCGCAUCCUGGGGCUGGAGUAGGUCCCAAGGGUUGGGCUGUUCGCCCAUUAAAGCGGUACGCGAGCUGGGUUUAGAACGUCGUGAGACAGUUCGGUCGAACCUCUGGUGUGUCAGUUGUACUGCCAAGUGCACCGCUGAUUAGCUACGUUCGGAUGGGAUAACCGCUGAAAGCAUCUAAGCGGGAAGCUCGCUUCAAGAUGAGAUUUCCAAACACCCUCGGGUGUUGAAGGCCCCCAGCCAGACCACUGGGUUGAUAGGCCGGACGUGGAAGACAGGACCAACGACUGUCGAAGCCGACCGGUACUAAUAGGCCAACAACUUACACCAC